rnacentral:rRNA from 1 species
CCCUUAGAUGUCCUGGGCCGCACGCGCGCUACACUGAGUGUCUGAGAUACGAGUCUGCCUGGUCCGGCAAGGUCUAGGUAAUCGCUAAAAGACACAUCAUGCUUGGGAUAGAUUAUUGCAAAUAUUAAUCUUGAACGAGGAAUUCCUAGUAAGCGCAAGUCAACAGCUUGCGUUGAUUACGUCCCUGCCCUUUGUACACACCGCCCGACGCUACUACUGAUUGGAUGUUUAAGCGAGGUUCUCGAACUGCUAGCGACUUAGCUUCGGUGAGGUCGCAGUGUGGGAAGUGAACCUAGCUUUGGUGUCUAGAGGAAGUAAAAGUCGUAACA